rnacentral:rRNA from 1 species
AGAGUUUGAUCCUGGCUCAGGAUGAACGCUGGCGGCGUGCCUAAUACAUGCAAGUCGAACGCUUCACUUCGGUGAAGAGUGGCGAACGGGUGAGUAAUACAUAAGUAACCUGGCAUCUACAGGGGGAUAACUGAUGGAAACGUCAGCUAAGACCGCAUAGGUGUAGAGAUCGCAUGAACUCUAUAUGAAAAGUGCUACGGGACUGGUAGAUGAUGGACUUAUGGCGCAUUAGCUAGUUGGUAGGGUAACGGCCUACCAAGGCGACGAUGCGUAGCCGACCUGAGAGGGUGACCGGCCACACUGGGACUGAGACACGGCCCAGACUCCUACGGGAGGCAGCAGUAGGGAAUUUUCGGCAAUGGGGGAAACCCUGACCGAGCAACGCCGCGUGAAGGAAGAAGUAAUUCGUUAUGUAAACUUCUGUCAUAGAGGAAGAACGGUGGAUAUAGGGAAUGAUAUCCAAGUGACGGUACUCUAUAAGAAAGCCACGGCUAACUACGUGCCAGCAGCCGCGGUAAUACGUAGGUGGCGAGCGUUAUCCGGAAUUAUUGGGCGUAAAGAGGGAGCAGGCGGCACUAAGGGUCUGUGGUGAAAGAUCGAAGCUUAACUUCGGUAAGCCAUGGAAACCGUAGAGCUAGAGUGUGUGAGAGGAUCGUGGAAUUCCAUGUGUAGCGGUGAAAUGCGUAGAUAUAUGGAGGAACACCAGUGGCGAAGGCGACGAUCUGGCGCAUAACUGACGCUCAGUCCCGAAAGCGUGGGGAGCAAAUAGGAUUAGAUACCCUAGUAGUCCACGCCGUAAACGAUGAGUACUAAGUGUUGGGUGUCAAAGCUCAGUGCUGCAGUUAACGCAAUAAGUACUCCGCCUGAGUAGUACGUUCGCAAGAAUGAAACUCAAAGGAAUUGACGGGGGCCCGCACAAGCGGUGGAGCAUGUGGUUUAA